rnacentral:rRNA from 1 species
UACGGAGGUGGCAAGCGUUGUUCGGAUUUAUUGGGUGUAAAGGGCAGGUAGGUGUCCUAGCAAGUUCUGGUUGAAAUCCCUCAGCUCAACUGAGGAACGCGUCAGAAAACUGCUGGGAUUGAGUGCGGAAGAGGAGAGCGGAAUUCCCGGUGUAAGGGUGAAAUCUGUAGAUAUCGGGAAGAACACCAGUGGCGAAAGCGGCUCUCUGGUACGCUACUGACACUGAACUGCGAAAGCUAGGGGAGCAAAC